AUUGAACGCUGGCGGCAUGCCUUACACAUGCAAGUCGAACGGCAGCACGGGAGCAAUCCUGGUGGCGAGUGGCGAACGGGUGAGUAAUAUAUCGGAACGUGCCCAGUCGUGGGGGAUAACGUAGCGAAAGCUACGCUAAUACCGCAUACGAUCUAUGGAUGAAAGCGGGGGAUCGCAAGACCUCGCGCGAUUGGAGCGGCCGAUAUCAGAUUAGGUAGUUGGUGAGGUAAAGGCUCACCAAGCCGACGAUCUGUAGCUGGUCUGAGAGGACGACCAGCCACACUGGGACUGAGACACGGCCCAGACUCCUACGGGAGGCAGCAGUGGGGGAAUUUUGGACAAUGGGCGCAAGCCUGAUCCAGCAAUAGCCGCGUGCAGGAUGAAGGCC
rnacentral:rRNA from 1 species